CUACGGGAGGCAGCAGUGGGGAAUUUUCCGCAAUGGGCGAAAGCCUGACGGAGCAAUACCGCGUGAGGGAAGACGGCCUAUGGGUUGUAAACCUCUUUUUUCAGGGAGGAAUUUUGACGUGUACCUGAAGGAUAAGCAUCGGCUAACUCCGUGCCAGCAGCCGCGGUAAGACGGAGGAUGCAAGUGUUAUCCGGAAUCACUGGGCGUAAAGCGUCUGUAGGUGGUUGAACAAGUCAACUGUUAAAUCUUGAGGCUCAACUUCAAAAUCGCAGUCGAAACUGUUUGACUAGAGUAUAGUAGGGGUAAAGGGAAUUUCCAGUGGAGCGGUGAAAUGCGUAGAUAUUGGAAAGAACACCGAUGGCGAAGGCACUUUACUGGGCUAUUACUGACACUCAGAGACGAAAGCUAGGGUAGCAAAUGGGAUUAGAUACCCCAGUAGUCCUAGCCGUAAACAAUGGAUACUAGAUGUUGAACAAAUCGACCUGUGCAGUAUCAAAGCUAACGCGUUAAGUAUCCCGCCUGGGAAGUAUGCUCGCAAGAGUGAAACUCAAAG
rnacentral:rRNA from 1 species